rnacentral:rRNA from 1 species
UAGGCGAAGUCAUCAAUCCCAUGCUGCCAAGAAAAGCCCAACAGUGAGUUGGCACGGCACCCGUACCCCAAACCGACACAGGUGGGCGGGUAGAGAAUACCAAGGCGAUCGGGAGAACUAUGGUUAAGGAACUCGGCAAAUUACAUCCGUAACUUCGGGAGAAGGAUGACCCUAUUAGGGUGAAGGGACUUGCUCCCCGAGCUCGAGAGGGUGACACAAACCAGGGGGUAGCGACUGUUUACCAAAAACACAGCAGCGUGCUAAGCCGCAAGGCGCUGUAUACGCUGUGACGCCUGCCCAAUGCUGGAAGGUCACGGGGAACGGUUAGUCGAAAGGCGAAGCUGUGAACCUAAGCCCCAGUGAAUGGCGGCCGUAACUAUAACGGUCCUAAGGUAGCGAAAUUCCUUGUCGGGUAAGUUCCGACCUGCACGAAUGGCGUAACGACUUCCCCACUGUCUCAACCAUAGACCCGGCGAAAUUGAAGUACGAGUAAAGAUGCUCGUUAGCUGCGGAAGGACGGAUAGACCCCAUGACCUUUACUACAACUUGAUAUUGAGCUUUGUCCUGCAUUGUGUAGGAUAGGUGGGAGACUUGGAAGCUGUAGCGCUAGCCAUGGUGGAGUCAUCGUUGAAAUACCACCCUGUGUAUGACGGGGCUCUAACCUAGGUCCAUUAUCUGGAUCAGGAACAGUGUCAGGCGGGUAGUUUGACUGGGGCGGUCGCCUCCUAAAAUGUAACGGAGGCGCCCAAAGGUUCCCUCAGGCUGGUUGGCAAUCAGCCGUCGAGUGCAAUGGCACAAGGGAGCUUGACUGCGAGACCUACAAGUCAAGCAGGUGCGAAAGCAGGGCAUAGUGACCCGGCCAUCACGUGUGGAAGUGUGGUCGCUCAACGGAUAAAAGGUACCCUGGGGAUAACAGGCUAAUCUUUCCCAAGAGUCCAUAUCGACGGAAAGGUUUGGCACCUCGAUGUCGGCUCAUCGCAUCCUGGGGCUGAAGCAGGUCCCAAGGGUUGGGCUGUUCGCCCAUUAAAGCGGUACGCGAGCUGGGUUCAGAACGUCGUGAGACAGUUCGGUCCCUAUCCUCCGCAGCCGAAGGUGUAUUGAGGAAGGCUGUCCCUAGUACGAGAGGACCGGGACGGACGGAGCUCUGGUGUGUCUGUUGUCCUGCCAAGGGCAUGGCAGAUUAGCCACCUCCGGAAGGGAUAACUGCUGAAAGCAUCUAAGUAGGAAACCCGUUCCAAGAUGAGUACACCCAUGCGGUUAACGCAGUAAGGCCCGUGACAAGACCAUCACGUUGAUAGGCCGGAGGUGUAAGCACGGUAACGUGUGUAGCCGACCGGUACUAAUCGGCC